rnacentral:lncRNA from 1 species
GGUGGAGGAGGAGAAUAGACGGGAGGUGGCGGCGAUUUGUAUUCGUAGUGUUUCUUUGGUGGUGGGGGAGAGUGGUAAACCGGAGGGGGAGGAGACUGGUAAACCGGAGGAGGAGGAGAUUUGUACUCGUAAUGCUUCUUAGGUGGUGGAGGAGAGUGGUAAACCGGAGGAGGAGGAGACUUGUAAACCGGUGGAGGAGGAGAUUUGUACUCGUAGUGUUUCUUAGGUGGUGGGGGAGAGUGGUAGACUGGAGGAGGAGGAGACUUGUAAACCGGUGGAGGAGGAGAUUUGUACUCGUAGUGUUUCUUAGGUGGUGGAGGAGAGUGGUAGACCGGAGGGGGAGGAGACUUGUAAACCGGUGGAGGAGGUGAUUUGUACUCGUAGUGUUUUUUAGGUGGUGGAGGUGAGUGGUAAACCGGAGGAGGAGGAGAUUUGUAAACCGGUGGAGGAGGUGAUUUGUACUCGUAAUGUUUCUUGGGAGGAGGUGGAGACUUGUAAACUGGAGGAGGAGAGUAAUGCUUAACCGGUGGUGGAGGUGAUUUGUACUCGUAGUCCUUCUUUGGUGGAGGUGGGGAUUUGUAAACCGGAGGAGAGUAGUGCUUUACCGGUGGUGGAGGAGACUUGUACACCGGAGGAGUGUAGUGUUUGACCGGUGGAGGAGGAGAAGAGUAGUAGUAAUUUGCGG